GCCCGUGUGGAUCAAUCGGAUCGCGCACUGGACUCACAACCCAGAGGUCGCCGGUUCGAAUCCCGCGGCGGGCG
rfam:Culex pipiens quinquefasciatus supercont3.1366 genomic scaffold, whole genome shotgun sequence.